AUCGACGACACGGGGUGUCGGCAACAGGCCGGCUGAGAUCACACCCGUUGAACCUGCUCCAGUUCACACUGGCGAAGGGAUGGUCGAAUGUCUGCUGC
rfam:Williamsia sterculiae strain CPCC 203464 genome assembly, contig: Ga0104459_103